UGUUCUGUGGCUUAGUUGGUAAAAGCGCCGGUCUAGCGAAUACGGAGUCGUGGGUUCGAAACCCACCAGAACGC
rfam:Aedes albopictus isolate Foshan contig159668, whole genome shotgun sequence.